CGAGCGUUUGCUUGCGGUUAAUACCGAAGGGACGGGAUGAAACAAGGAAGCCAGAAUGCAGCGGCCCCUCGAUAUCACCAGGAACUGCUACAGGAGGAGGCGUUCUGGCACGGGUAACUAGGAUUAAUUGCCACGGCUGAAGUUGAAGAGACCAAGAAACGUAAGCCGCGAAGGGGCACAUCUCGAAGAGAAGCAGCAAGACCUGGGGAUCCGGUGGUUCGUUUUGGUCGUCGCCUGUGAGGCCAGCAUGCAAGAGUAAGAGGAAGCUAGGAGCAGUCUCAAAAAGAGAUGGAACCAAGGACAGCAAAUGCUGACGAGGAGAAGAGACGGACGAGCGUUUGCUUGCGGUUAAUACCGAAGGGACGGGAUGAAACAAGGAAGCCAGAAUGCAGCGGCCCCUCGAUAUCACCAGGAACUGCUACAGGAGGAGGCGUUCUGGCACGGGUAACUAGGGUAAGUAUGGCUAAUGACCGUUAGCAGUUAUUUUGGCCUCCCCGAGGCAGC